GGUGAAGUUACUAAGGGCAUACGGUGGAUGCCUUGGCACCAUAAGGCGAUGAAGGACGUGGAUACCUGCGAUAAGCUUCGGAGAGGUGGAAAACAACCUGAGACCCGAAGAUUUCCGAAUGGGAAAACCCUCCAAGGGUCAUGCCUUGGAAUUGCAUACUGAAUAAAAUAGGUAUGCAAGGCAAACGGGGGGAACUGAAACAUCUAAGUACCCCCAGGAAGAGAAAACAAUAGUGAUUCCCUGAGUAGUGGCGAGCGAAACGGGAAGAGCCUAAACCGAGCAACAUGUAAGGAGACGACCGUUGUGUUGCCGGUGUUGCGGGAUCAGCUGGCCAAUUCGUUUUGCGGCCAAAGAGUUACAAAAUGCAAACAUAGUCAAAGCGUUUGGAAAGACGCGCCAUAGAAGGUGAAAGCCCUGUAGGCGAAAUGUUCUGCAUCUCUUGCUGCGAUCCCAAGUACCACGGAGUAAGUGGAAUUCUGUGGGAAUCUGCCAGAACCAUCUGGUAAGGCUAAAUACUCUAUGGUGACCGAUAGUGCACAAGUACCGUGAGGGAAAGGUGAAAAGAACCCUUUAGAAGGGAGUGAAAAGAAUCUGAAACCGUAUGCUUACAAACGGUAGGAGGAAGUAGUAGUCUUCGGACUGCUACGACUGACUGCGUGCCUUUUGCUUAAUGAGCCUACGAGUUACUCGUAUGAUGCAAGGUUAAGGACCUCAGGUCCGCAGCCGUAGCGAAAGCAAGUCUGAAAUGGGCGAGAAGUAUCAUGCGGUAGACGCGAACCCGUGUGAUCUACCGAUGGGCAGGAUGAAGUGGGAGUAAAAUCUCAUGGAGGUCCGAACCAGUGUGGGUUGAAAACCGCUUGGAUGACCUGUCGGUAGGAGUGAAAGGCCAAUCAAACUCGGAAAUAGCUCGUACUCCCCGAAAUGUUUUUAGGAACAGCCUCGUGUAUAGUGUACCGGAGGUAGAGCACUGAUUGGGCUAGGGCCCUCACAAGGGUACCAAACCCAGACAAACUCCGAAUUCCGGAUACAUGUUUCACGGGAGUGAGGCGGCGAGGGAUAAGCCCCGUUGCCGAGAGGGAAACAACCCAGACCAUCAGCUAAGGUCCCUAAGGGUAUGUUAACAGACAAAGGAUGUCAGAUUGCUCCGACAACUAGGAUGUUGGCUUAGAAGCAGCCAUUCAUUUAAAGAGUGCGUAAUAGCUCACUAGUCAAGCGAUCAGGCGUCGAUAAUUUGCGGGACUAAACAUACUACCGAAGCUAUGGAUCCCGACUUGUCGGGAUGGUAGGGGAGCAUUCUGUAGGCAUUGAAGGUGCGUCGUAAGGCGUGCUGGAGCGUACAGAAAAGAAAAUGUAGGCAUAAGUAACGAUAAACACUGUGAAAAACAGUGUCACCGAAAACCUAAGGGUUCCUGAGCAACGUUAAUCGACUCAGGGUUAGUCGGCCCCUAAGCCGAGGCCGAAAGGCGUAGGUGAUGGGAAACAGGUUGAAUAUUCCUGUACCCGUAAGUAUUCGUCUGACCGUAAGGGGGGACGCAGAAGUGAAAGGUCGGCCAGCUGUCGGAAUAGCUGGUUUAAGCAUGUAGGUCGGCGGCGUAGGCAAAUCCGCGCUGUCAAACCGAGAUGUGAAUAGGGCGCCCGUAUGGGCCACAACCGACCCUAAGCAGGCUGCCGAGAAAAUCCUCGUACGGGAGAAUGCUUGCGGACCGUACCGUAAACCGACACAGGUAGGUGAGGAGAGUAUCCUAAGGUGCUCGAGUGAGCCGUGGUUAAGGAACUCGGCAAAAUGACUCCGUAACUUCGGGAUAAGGAGUGCCCCUAGUAGGUGACAUGACAAGUGAAGCUGAAUGGGGUCGCAGAGAAUCGGCCCAGGCGACUGUUUAACAAAAACACAUGACUAUGCAAACUCAAUUGAGAGGAAGUAUAUAGUCUGACACCUGCCCGGUGCCGGAAGGUUAAGAGGAGAGGUUAUCCUUCGGGAGAAGCUUUGAAUCGAAGCCCCGGUAAACGGCGGCCGUAACUAUAACGGUCCUAAGGUAGCGAAAUUCCUUGUCGGGUAAGUUCCGACCUGCACGAAUGGUGUAACGAUCUGGGCGCUGUCUCAACCACGGGCUCGGUGAACUUGAGGUACCGGUGAAGACACCGGUUACCCGCAUAUGGACGGAAAGACCCCGUGCACCUUUACUGCACCCUAGCAUUGGGUUUGGGUAAAGUAUGUGUAGGAUAGGUGGGAGACUGCGAAGCUGGCGCGCUAGCGUCGGUGGAGUCAACCUUGAAAUACCACCCUUAUUUUAUCUGAAUUCUAACCCACCGCCGUGAAUCCGGUGGGGGGACAGUGUUAGGCGGGUAGUUUGACUGGGGCGGUCGCCUCCUAAAAUGUAACGGAGGCUCUCAAAGGUACCCUCAGCAUGGUUGGUAAUCAUGCGUUGAGUGCAUACGCAAAAGGGUGCUUGACUGCGAGACUGACAGGUCGAGCAGGUGCGAAAGCAGGAGUAAGUGAUCCGACGGUUGAGAGUGGAAUUGCCGUCGCUCAAAGGAUAAAAGGUACGCCGGGGAUAACAGGCUGAUCUCCCCCAAGAGUUCACAUCGACGGGGAGGUUUGGCACCUCGAUGUCGGCUCAUCGCAUCCUGGGGCUGAAGAAGGUCCCAAGGGUUUGGCUGUUCGCCAAUUAAAGCGGUACGUGAGCUGGGUUCAGAACGUCGUGAGACAGUUCGGUCCCUAUCCUAUGCGGGCGCAGGAUGAUUGAGAAGAUUUGCUCUUAGUACGAGAGGACCGGAGUGAACGAACCUCUAGUGUACCAGUUGUCGCGCCAGCGGCAUGGCUGGGUAGCUACGUUCGGAAGGGAUAAGCGCUGAAAGCAUCUAAGCACGAAGCCCACUUCAAGAUGAUUCAUCCCUCCGCCUUUGGCGGACUAAAGACUCCUGGAAGAUGACCAGGUGAUAGGCAGCAGGUGUACGCACAGCAAUGUGUUUAGCCGAGCUGUACUAAUAAGUCGUGCGACUUCCCAUU
rnacentral:rRNA from 1 species